rnacentral:rRNA from 1 species
GACGAACGCUGGCGGCGUGCUUAACACAUGCAAGUCGAACGGAAAGGCCCUGCUUUUGUGGGGUGCUCGAGUGGCGAACGGGUGAGUAACACGCGAGUAACCUGCCCUUGACUUUGGGAUAACUUCAGGAAACUGGGGCUCAUACCGGAUAGGAGCUCCUGCUGCAUGGUGGGGGUUGGAAAGUUUCGGCGGUUGGGGAUGGACUCGCGGCUUAUCAGCUUGUUGGUGGGGUAGUGGCUUACCAAGGCUUUGACGGGUAGCCGGCCUGAGAGGGUGACCGGCCACAAUGGGACUGAGAUACGGCCCAGACUCCUACGGGAGGCAGCAGGGGGGAAUAUUGCACAAUGGGCGGAAGCCUGAUGCAGCAACGCCGCGUGCGGGAUGACGGCCUUCGGGUUGUAAACCGCUUUCGCCUGUGACGAAGCGUGAGUGACGGUAAUGGGUAAAGAAGCACCGGCUAACUACGUG